rnacentral:tRNA from 1 species
GCCAUGGGCGGAUCGCGGCUGUGACGAACUUCUGCUUCCCAAGCAGACAGCGCGGGUUCGAUUCCCGUUAUCGGCU